AUGAAACUUAUAACUGAGGGUAUUCCAAAAUUUAAUCUUGAUAGAUUUCUUGAUUUUGAUCUAGAGAAGAUUUAUUUGUAUUGUGCGGUGAAUUGCAUUGAAAAUCCUUAUAUUGCCAAUUACAUAAAGAAAAGAAAGCAAAUAGAAGAUGAUGAGAAUACUAAUGAAAGGGAAGAGACUUCCCAAUCUCCUCCUAUUAUUUCUUAUGAUGAAUCAGGUAACGAGGAGGAGCUUUCUAUUCAACCAAUCCCAUCAAUAAAGAAGGUUGAACCCACACAUAAUGUGAAGAAGAAAAAGAAAAGAAGGAGCAACAAGGUAAAAGGUAUCCCUCCCAAAUGA
rnacentral:rRNA from 1 species